AAACCGAGGUCUCCGGGAGAGGAAGUUAUUCUAACUUUUUUGGAAACCCUAGCCGGGCUGGGUUGCUAAAUAGUUGUCAGUAGCGAGGGCGGCGCGCUGAUUGGUCGCCGCGACCGGGGGCAGGACGAGUUCUGGGGCCUCCGCCGGCCGCCCCCGCCCCCCGGCGCGGCACUUUCAGUUUUGCCUCCCCCUUCGGCCCCGGCCGCGGCGGGCACCCGGGACUGCCCGGCCUUCGCGCGCGCCGCCCGCGCCUCCGCCCCGGGCUCUGACCGCUCUCCGGCCGUGCCGCGGGCUCAGCCGAUCCCGCUUUGUCUGCUCCUUAACUGGAGAUCGGGCCCCGCCGAGCUGCGGGGUCUCUCCCGCGGCGCGAGGGGUACGGGAGGCAAGUCCUACCCUAGAUGCGCUCCCAGGAGGGAAGAUGGUGAACAACAACCAAGAAUGCCUCCGUUUCCCUCCUUUUGGGUGGAAGUCUGGUCGGAAGCUGGCAGGGGCCUGAGUCCCACCCCAGGUUCCCCCUCUAAUUCGCCUUCCCCCUCCUUGGCUCUGCUGACUUUCCCUUCCUCCUCUUCAAAGAGGCCCUCACCCCUAACUCCAAGGAGAUGCUCUCUGAACUCUGAAUAUAAAGGAAAGCUGGUUUUGUUUUAUUUUUCUGACGGAUACUCCCCCUCCCCGCACUGAGGAACAAUUCAUGCACACUGAUAUCAAAGGAUGGAGGCGUUACCUUUAUUUCCCUGGGCCACACAGGAAGUAUUUUGCCCCAACAUGGCACAUCUUUUGGGUGUGACUUCUAUACUCUGGAUCCAUUCUGAAAUCUGUGGCUUGCUGGCUCACGGCUGAACAGCCUGGAUCAUAAUCGAUUAUAUUUUUGGCUGUACAGAGGUUUGCAGCUGAAGAGGAAAAUGUUUGCACUCAUUUUCCAUUUUUACAGUCUUCAUGUAAAAACUGUGGAAUAUUGUGCUUUUUAAAUCCCACAGGAAAAGUUUUUGGAUAUACUAAUAUUCAAAUGACAGCAAUGCAAAGAAUGGAGAUCCUCAAGUAAUUAGGUGUUUUCUUACUGAUCAGACUGAUGAAGAGCAAGGUGAAGGAGGAGGAGAGAAGAGGAUGAAGGUGCUGGUUACGUUAAUUAAGAAAGAAAACAAAAUGGGAAACAGAAGCCAGCCUGCCAGCUCUCGUCGCUGGGGUGGAUGGAGAAUGGUCCAGCUUCCCUCCCCAUGUCCUUCUCUGGCUCCUUUAUGUGUGUUCGAGACACUGAGACCCCCAGUCAGUAAGCAAGUAUAUUCCAUAUACUCAAGCAGGAAAGUGGUUCUAAGUUACGGAGUGAAGAACUGGGUCUUUAUCCUUUUUUGAAGGCAUGUGUGUGUGUGCUUAGUCGCUCAGAUGUGUCCCACUCUGCGGCCUCAUGGACUAUACAUGGCCCACCGAUCACCUACCCCAAUAAACUGCAUCCAUUUUGAAUUUAAAAUGUGAUG
rnacentral:lncRNA from 1 species